UGGGGAAUAUUGCACAAUGGGCGAAAGCCUGAUGCAGCAACGCCGCGUGAGUGAUGAAGGUCUUCGGAUUGUAAAGCUCUGUCUUUUGGGACGAUAAUGACGGUACCAAAGGAGGAAGCCACGGCUAACUACGUGCCAGCAGCCGCGGUAAUACGUAGGUGGCGAGCGUUGUCCGGAUUUACUGGGCGUAAAGGGUGCGUAGGCGGAUGUUUAAGUGAGAUGUGAAAUACCCGGGCUUAACUUGGGUGCUGCAUUUCAAACUGGAUAUCUAGAGUGCAGGAGAGGAGAAUGGAAUUCCUAGUGUAGCGGUGAAAUGCGUAGAGAUUAGGAAGAACACCAGUGGCGAAGGCGAUUCUCUGGACUGUAACUGACGCUGAGGCACGAAAGCGUGGGUAGCAAACAGGAUUAGAUACCCUGGUAGUCCACGCCGUAAACGAUGAGUACUAGGUGUAGGAGGUAUCGACCCCUUCUGUGCCGCAGUAAAACA
rnacentral:rRNA from 1 species